AGUGAACGCUGGCGGUAGGCCUAAUACAUGCAAGUCGAACGGCCGGACGGUAAGAGUUUGCUCUUACGGUUGGCGAGUGACGGACGGGUGAGGAAUACAUAGGCAUCUUCUUUUUCGUGGGGGACUUCGUAGGACAAGUUACGAUAAUGCAUCAUACGAUGUACGGGAGAAAUCAGAGGAUCUUCAGACCUUGCGUGACUGAAUUAGCUGAUGCCGGAUUACCUAGUUGGCGUGGUAAGGGACCACCAAGGCGACGAACCGUAGCUGGUCUGAGAGGAUGAUCAGCCACACUGGAACUGAGACACGGUCCAGACUCCUACGGGAGGCAGCAGUGGGGAAUAUUGGACAAUGGGCGCAAGCCUGAUCCAGCCAUACCGCGUGGGUGAUGAAGGCCUUCGGAUUGUAAAGCCCUGUUGUUAGGAAAGAAAAGCAGCAGAUGAAUACCCCGCUGUUCUGACGGUACCCAAAGAAUAAGCACCGGCUAACUUCGUG
rnacentral:rRNA from 1 species